rnacentral:rRNA from 1 species
GAUGAACGCUGGCGGCGUGCCUAAUACAUGCAAGUCGAGCGAACGGACGAGAAGCUUGCUUCUCUGAUGUUAGCGGCGGACGGGCGAGUAACACGUGGAUAACCUACCUAUAAGACUGGGAUAACUUCGGGAAACCGGAGCUAAUACCGGAUAAUAUUUUGAACCGCAUGGUUCAAAAGUGAAAGACGGUCUUGCUGUCACUUAUAGAUGGAUCCGCGCUGCAUUAGCUAGUUGGUAAGGUAACGGCUUACCAAGGCAACGAUGCAUAGCCGACCUGAGAGGAUGAUCGGCCACACUGGAACGGAGACCCGGUCCCGACUCCUACGGGAGGCACCAGUAGGGAAUCUUCCGCGAUGGGCGGAAGCCUGACGGAGCAACGCCGCGUGAGUGAUGAAGAUCUUCGGAUCGUAAACCUCUGUUCUUAGGGCAGAACAUAGGUGUAAGUAACUGUGCACAGCUUGACGGUACCUACUCAGAAAGCCACGGCUAACUACGUG